GUCAGCGCUUAACAUAUAGAAUUGCUCUACAUCAGAUAUGAUAUUUUCCAAAAAUGUGUCCUCUAUAGGAACCUUGCACAAGGGGGAAUGAAAUUGUACAGAUGAUAAAUGAAGAAACAGAAGGUACAGAAGAUUUUUUAGGACCAGCGUCCAGAAGAAACCCACCCAGAGGGGAGGCCAGAAACACCAGAGAUACCACAAAUAUGCAAACACGCAGUCAGAAAGCAUCCAAGACCCAGACUCCACGGAGCAAUCCGAGGAGAAGAAACAAGUGGUAAAUAUAUCUUCAAAAACAUUAUCUGAUUUACAAAUGUCAGUGCUUUCAAGGGGUUUGUAAUUUUGUCCAAAUACUGGUAUUGACUGGUUCUAGUUUGAGAUAGAUUUACAUCAACUAAUAAGGAAGAUCAAGCUAAAGGUUUGGUUUGACAACCUUGGACAAGACUGGAGCAAACUCCUCAGUGCCAUCAGAUGAGGGUUUCAGGUAUAAGGAUUUUGAUAUCAGGACUAAAAGUGACUUCAAUCCUCCUUUGGAAUCAUCAUGAUUGAAGCAUUUAAAACUAUGAUCAAGUCCUACGUCAUUUUGCUGUGGAAGCAAAAUCCUACAUACAAGACACCACAGACUUUUUACUGAAAAUUUGUGAUCUGGCUAUCCCUCCUAACUCCAUACUGGCAUCGUUUGACAUAAGAAAAUACAGUUCUUGGAUACCUUAGUGACAAGACAUGAUGAACGACUACAUACGGACCUUUUUACCAAAGAAACUGACUGUAACACCUUACUUGAGUAUACUAGCUGUCAUCCUCGACAUAUGGAACAACGUUAUGUAAAACCAGAGGAAUAUUAUUCAUACUGUUUUACUUCUAAAUGACGAAUUUCAAGUGGCACAUGAGGAAGCGGGGAGAAUUUUAAUGUUUUAUUUAAUAAAUGGUUUCUUGUAAAUGAUAUGUCGAUAUUGUGUCUAUUAUGU